UUUUUGUGCUCUCCUAGCCUCUCACCAGCAGCUGCCACCACAAAUUCAGCUUUCUGUCCAGGAGAACAAGAAACCACAACCAGGCAGGCAGAAUCCCUUCAUGUCAAAGUUCGAAGUGUCUGAGCAGCAGCAGCAGCCUGAAGUUCCGGUGUCUGUCAGUGACGAUGAAGACAGAGAAAUUAACGGAAGCUGGGAAAUGUUCAUGUCAUCAUUAGAAGGCGAUGAACCAAACCCAGACGAUAUCAGAAUUGUUCUGAUAGGGAAGACUGGCAAUGGGAAAAGCUCAUCAGGAAACACCAUUUUAGGAAGAAAA